ACUGGUACUGGUGGUGGUACUGGUUGGUGGUGCUGGUACCGUGGAGGUGGAGGUGGAGGUUGCGGCCCAGAGAGAGUCCGACCACAUUCCCGCGGUGCUACAGGUGGCAUUUCAUACGAAUAAGACGGAGGUUCUUCUGUAAGAGUUGGAUUUGGAUGAAAGGAAAGCGUUAGGAAGGCUUUCGAAUCGUUUGAUUUCGUUUUUGAAUUUCGUUGUUUGGAACCGUUCCCAUUGGAGUCGGUGAAGAGAGAGAUAGA
rnacentral:lncRNA from 1 species